ACGAACGCUGGCGGCGUGCUUAACACAUGCAAGUCGAACGGAAAGGCCCUGCUUUUGUGGGGUGCUCGAGUGGCGAACGGGUGAGUAACACGUGAGUAACCUGCCCUUGACUUUGGGAUAACUUCAGGAAACUGGGGCUAAUACCGGAUAGGAGCUCCUGCUGCAUGGGGGGGGUUGGAAAGUUUCGGCGGUUGGGGAUGGACUCGCGGCUUAUCAGCUUGUUGGUGGGGUAGUGGCUUACCAAGGCUUUGACGGGUAGCCGGCCUGAGAGGGGGACCGGCCACAUUGGGACUGAGAUACGGCCCAGACUCCUACGGGAGGCAGCAGUGGGGAAUAUUGCACAAUGGGCGGAAGCCUGAUGCAGCAACGCCGCGUGCGGGAUGACGGCCUUCGGGUUGUAAACCGCUUUCGCCUGUGACGAAGCGUGAGUGACGGUAAUGGGUAAAGAAGCACCGGCUAACUACGUG
rnacentral:rRNA from 1 species